rnacentral:rRNA from 1 species
AGCUCCAAUAGCGUAUAUUAAAGUUGCCGCAGUUAAAAAGCUCGUAGUUGCAUUUCCGAGGCAAGGGAUUAGUCCGACCUUUGGUGGGUAUUUAAUCCUCUUGCCUCGUCCUUGAGUGGUGCUUCUUGGUAUUAAGUUAUCGAGGAGAUAGCCGCUCAUCGUUUACUGUGAGAAAAUUAGAGUGUUCAAAGCAGGCUUAUGCCGUUGAAUAUAUUAGCAUGGAAUAAUAAGAUAGGACCUCGGUACUAUUUUGUUGGUUUGAGAACCAAGGUAAUGAUGAAUAGGGACAGUUGGGAGUAUUCGUAUUCAGUUGUCAGAGGUGAAAUUCUUAGAUUUACGGAAGACGAACUACUGCGAAAGCAUUUACCAAGGAUGUUUUCA